GACGUAGGUGGCGAACGUUAUCCGGAAUUAUUGGGCGUAAAGGAUGCGUAGAUGGCUUAGUAAGUUAUCGGUGGCAAAUCGAGGCUCAACCUCGUGGAAGUCGGUAAUACUGCUAUGCUAGAGGAUAGGAGAGGUUAACGGAACUCCCUGUGGAGCGGUGAAAUGCGUAGAUAUAGGGAAGAACACCAAUCAGGCGAAGGCAGUUAACUAUUCUACUCCUGACAUUGAGGCAUGAAAGCGUGGGGAGCAAAACGG
rnacentral:rRNA from 1 species